rnacentral:rRNA from 1 species
AACGAACGCUGGCGGCAUGCCUAACACAUGCAAGUCGAACGAGACCUUCGGGUCUAGUGGCGCACGGGUUCGUAACGCGUGGGAACCUGCCCUCAGGUUCGGAAUAACUCCCCGAAAGGGGUGCUAAUACCGGAUAAUGUCUUCGGACCAAAGAUUUAUCUCCUUUGGAUGGGCCGGAGUUGGAUUAGCUAGUUGGUAGGGUAAAAGCCUACCAAGGCGACGAUCCAUAGCUGGUCUGAGAGGAUGAUCAGCCACACUGGGACUGAGACACGGCCCAGACUCCUACGGAAGGCAGCAAUGGGGAAUGGUGGACAGUGGGCGAAAGCCUGAUGCAGUAAUGCCGGGAAAGUUAUGAAGUCCGUAGGGAUGUAAAGCUUUUUUACCCGUGAAGAUAAUGACGGUACCGGAAGAGUAAGCUCCGGCUAACUACGUG